rnacentral:misc_RNA from 1 species
AUUAUGUCCUUUCACACUACACUCAUACGCUUACAUAAAGUUACAACGCUUCUUUUUCAGAAUAUUUAUUAUUAUCAAGGAACUUUGCAUGCCAUGCAAAAGCUAUGUUAAAGAUUUAAUCUAGGCAUGCCUGUUCAACUGCUAUUAUCAUUCUAUUAUGUUGUGCAGAUAAAAAUAAAAAAGAAAAGAUAAAAUGCCAUUGAAUUCUUUAGUUAAUAAUAUGUCAUUUUAAGUAAGUAUUCUCAUCAUCUUGAAUUAUUCUUCUUUUCACCUUUUCCUAGUUUCUAUAGAAUUGGGGUUGGGUUUUACUGGCCUGUUAACUUUUAUAUUCCUUUAGCACAUGCAUAGGUUCAAUAUGAGUUUUUGCUGCUAUUUCUCUUAUCUUUAAUUGAUCACUUCUUAUCCUUUGAACAAUGAAUUAAGCUUCUGUCAAUGCUAACAUACAUGUGAAGAUAUUUUUAUCAUAUCUGUAGAUUUUGGUCAUUGAAGAAAUUUAGUUUUUUCUGUUUUCUUGAAUAAGGAGAGAUUUUUCAAAACAGGCAUUAAUUUGGUCAAGCAACAUCCUCGUAGGAUUUUAUGUUGUAGUUCAAUUAGGUGAUAAUUUUCAAAUUUGAGGUUGCAGAAUCAUCUCCAGAUUCCUACCAAGUUUCAUUGUAUGGCUUUAACUGUUGUAUAUCCUGUUCUUUGAAUCAAGCUUUGAGGAUCUUUUUUCUUAAAAAAGAACAAAAAAAUCAUAUUCUGAAUCUAAAUAUCUUGAAAUAGGUGUUAAUGAAGGCUAUUUUACUGGUGCUGCAGGUGUCUGAUAUUUUUGUAGAGU